GGAGAUAGCUUUUGAAGAUACUGAUGAUGAUGUAACGAUAAAGUGGAACGAAGGAAGAAGGAUUAUUGAAAUUCAGUAUGUCAUUGAGAAGCUGAUUGAAGGCUGUGAAUUCUGCAGACAUUCUUUGAACUUCACGAAUAUAUGUGGCGAGAUCAGAUAUGGACUGGCAUCAAUGUUACAAAUAAAGUGUGUGAAUUGUGAUAUGGUGGUAUCAGUUCCAACUGGAAAGAGACACUCUCGCAUAGACAGUGACCAUCCAUCUAGAGCAAUUGAUGUCAACACAAAACUGGCUCUUGGUAUGCUUCAUGCAGGUAUUUGCCAGAAGAAAGUAUCAAUGCUCUUAAGUGUACUUAAUAUUCCAUCUAUGUGCCAUAAAACCUUGAAAAAACAGAGAGGGAAGUAGGAAAGGCAUUAGAAGAAGUGGCCAAAAAGAGUUGUGACGAUAUGGCUGCGGUUGAGAAGGAAUCAUCAAGUACACCUAAUGAGCUGUCUGUAUCAUUUGAUGGUGGGUGGCAGAAAAGAGGAUCAGGUCGAUCCUAUUCAAGUUUGUCAGGACAUGCAGCAAUGAUUGGAAAUGAAACAGGAAAAAUCAUCAAUUUUGCAACUCGCAACAGCUAUUCUAGAGUAUGUGAUAACUCUAAAAAAAAUCUGGGAAGGUUCUACCUAUCCAUGACUGUCGAAAGAACUGGUCCAAAAGUGCAAAAGCCAUGGAACCAGAUAUGUGCAU